CAGCAGCCGCGGUAAAACGUAGGUGGCAAGCGCUGUCCGGAAUUACUGGGCGUAAAGGGCUCGCAGGCGGUUUCUUAAGUCUGAUGUGAAAGCCCCCGGCUCAACCGGGGAGGGUCAUUGGAAACUGGGAAACUUGAGUGCAGAAGAGGAGAGUGGAAUUCCACGUGUAGCGGUGAAAUGCGUAGAGAUGUGGAGGAACACCAGUGGCGAAGGCGACUCUCUGGUCUGUAACUGACGCUAAGGAGCGAAAGCGUGGGGAGCGAACAGGAUUAGAUACCCCUGUAGUCCCUGUCUCUUAUAC
rnacentral:rRNA from 1 species